AUGCUACUUAUAAGUAGAGUAAGUAUACAUGAAAUUUGUAUAUAGUUCUAGGUAAAAUUUUGAUAAUGACAGACUUUUAUCUAUUUGUCUUGACCAAAUCUUGUGCCAGCAGUCGCGGCAAUACAAGGAAGACAAGUGUUAUUCAUCUUAAAUCGGUUUAAGGGGUACCUAGACGGUAAAUUAGGCCAUAGUAGGUACGUUUUUACUAGAGUUAUACAUGCAUGGGGAUUGUGUCAGUAUUACCAGAGUAGAGAUGAAAUUUUUUGAUACUGUUAAGACU
rnacentral:rRNA from 1 species